UACGAAGGGGGCUAGCGUUGUUCGGAUUUACUGGGCGUAAAGCGCACGUAGGCGGAUUGGUCAGUUAGAGGUGAAAUCCCGAAGCUCAACUUCGGAACUGCCUUUAAUACUGCCAGUCUAGAGUCCGGAAGAGGUAAGUGGAACUCCUAGUGUAGAGGUGGAAUUCGUAGAUAUUAGGAAGAACACCAGUGGCGAAGGCGGCUCACUGGUCCGGUACUGACGCUGAGGUGCGAAAGCGUGGGGAGCAAACAGG
rnacentral:rRNA from 1 species